CGCGAAUGGCUCAUUACAACAGCUAUAAUUCACUUGAUCUUGACACAAUCCUACUUGGAUAACUGUGGUAAUUCUAGAGCUAAUACAUGCAUUAAAGCUCUGACCUCACGGAAAGAGUGCAUUUAUUAGAACAAAACCAAGCGGCUUCGGCUGUUUUCGGUUGACCCAUAGUAACUGAGCUGAUCGCAUGGUCUUGCACCGGCGACGUGUCUUUCAAGUAUCUGCCGUAUCAACUUUCGAUGGUAGUGUAUCUGACUACCAUGGUGAUCACGCGUAACGGAGAAUAAGGGUUCGGCUCCGGAGAGUUCGCCUGAGAAAUCGCGAACACAUCUAAGGAAGGCAGCAGGCGCGAAAAUUACCCACUCUCAGCACGAGGAGGUAGUGACGAAAAAUAACGAGACCGUUCUCUUUCGAGGCCGGUCAUCGGAAUGGGUACAAUUUAAACCCUUUAACGAGUAUCUAUGAGAGGGCAAAGCUGGUGCCAGCAGCCGCGGUAAUUCCAGCU
rnacentral:rRNA from 1 species